rnacentral:sRNA from 1 species
GAAGUAAAAGCAGGCUCGAAAAAAAAAACAACGAGAACGAGAGAACACAAAAGCAAAGCAAGUUGGCAGGCAGGCAGCAGCGUCAAAAACGUAGAAAAUUCCUUAAAAAAAUGUUGCAAAGUGGAAAUAUAAAUCAAUAAUAAAAGUGUUUGCAGGUUUUUGGACAUUGAAUUGGUGGAAAAUAUACCAAAGCCAAUGGUGGUGGUGGUGAUGGUCAAUAUUACUGCAUACAAUGCUGCUGAUGAUGAGCAUGAUGUCAUGAUGCCACCAAUUGUCAUGUAGAUAUAAAUCCGGGAAUUAAAACUGAUUAAUAUACGGAGGAAAAGUGCUUUAAAACCGGACAACUGAAACAAGGCGAAAUCGGAAAAAUAUCCACCUAAAGAAAGAACAAUAAAGAAAAAUAAAAUUUCAAAAAAAAAAGAAGUAGAGAGCGAAACAGGAAAUCAACUUCAACCUCAAUUAACCUGAAAUAAUCUAUUCAAGUCUCUUCCCAGUUCCAA